rnacentral:lncRNA from 1 species
GGGACAACGUGUAGGCCCCGUAGUACAGCUCUGCCAUAGCUACUUCUCAGCUUGGAUCCUCUCCGUGACUCCCGGGGACGCUGUCCAGCAAAGCCCACUCUCCUUUCCUGAGGCCCCAUGCUAAGGCCAAGCCCUUCUGUCAGAUUUCUCACCUGCUGCUCUCCUUGCGCACUCAGGACCCAGCCAGAUGAACUAUUCUUGCCCCCAGAGCCUGUCCUAUGUUCUCAGCUUUGUGCUUUGCCUAGUGCUGCUGUUCUCCUGGAAAUGCCCUUUUGCCUCCUCUCCACCUGCUAAAAUCCUCCCCUUGGUUCCAGUUCUGGAUGAGAUGGAACAAGCAUAUCCUGACCUGUCUAUCCCACCGAAGGCAGCUGUAACCCUGGGCGGCACGCAUGGAGCAGCCAUCUGAAGACUCGGAAAAGUAAAUAGCAGCAGAUGCAUUUGGAAGAAAACCAAAGCCUGAAGUAUCUCAGCACCAGCAGUGAGUUUACCACUCUUGUUCCUCUGAGAUUCCCCUGCCUGGGCUCAAGGCACCCCAAAACGUGGAUGUGGAUUCGGGUAGGGAUCUAUCAAGCAGUUUGAUUCCAGUCAGUCUCGUCAGAGAAUCCUUACCAAGGGCAUCCACAUCUGUGACACCAGCUGCCCAUCAGCGGCCUCGAUUUGUUUCCAGUUUGCUGCUCCAAAGAGGGAUGUCUGUAACCUUCCAGUCUAGAGUCUUCCCAGCAGCAGAGCAGACGGCCAGGCCAUUGGUGCCAGAGAUGAAGUCUUGCUGUUUUGCCCAAGCUGGAGUGCAGUGGCAUGAUCUCGGCUCAUUGCAACUUCUGCCUCCUGAGUUCAAGAGAUUCUCCUGCUUC